rnacentral:rRNA from 1 species
UACAGAGGUCCCAAGCGUUGUUCGGAUUCACUGGGCGUAAAGGGUGCGUAGGCGGUCGGGUAAGUCUGAUGUGAAAUCUCACAGCUUAACUGUGAAACUGCAUUGGAUACUAUUCGGCUUGAGAGUUGGAGGGGGGACUGGAAUUCUUGGUGUAGCAGUGAAAUGCGUAGAUAUCAAGAGGGACACCAGUGGCGAAGGCGAGUCCCUGGACAACUUCUGACGCUGAGGCACGAAAGCUAGGGGAGCAAACAGG